GUCAAACUUCGGUAACGAUUUUUGAUAGUUUCGUCUCCUGCACCAACCAUCGAGACUUUUAAAAGGCUGAUCCUUUCCAGGAUCAGGCCUCUGUUGAAAGUGUAAUUUGAAAGCAAAAGAAAUAAGCUGUUAAAAAUACAAUAGAUUUAAUUCUCCAAUUCAUACCAAUUGUGAGAAUUGAUUUGCUUCAGAAGAAAGGUCCACAAAGCGGGCCUUUUUUCUUUUGGUUUUUCCUCAGAACUGCCAAGACGACUGAAAGGCGGCAAGUGAGAGCAGUGAAAUCGGGGUUGAGAAGCCACAUUCCGUCGUCGAAAGCCGCGGCUAUUCCCCCUGCUAGUUUGCCAUCCCACCGUCUCGCCGUCAGUAGCUGGUCGGAAAAAGUGCCCUCAGUCUCCAUUACUGGCAAGCCACCACCAGCGCGAUACCCCGGAGAGAUUCCGCCGUAGUGCGGUAGUACCAACUGAUAGAAAC